rnacentral:tRNA from 1 species
UCCCUGGUGGCUCAGAUGGUAAAGCGUCUACCUGCAAUGUGGGAGACCAGGGUUCGAUUCCUGGGUUGGGAA